UCUGGCGGGCGCGUGCUAUAGUGCAGGUCGAGCGCGAGCGUAAGGAGCUUGCUCCUUACGCUCGAGCGGCGGACGGGUGAGUAACACGUGGGCAACCUACCCUUUAGACUGGGAUAACUACCGGAAACGGUAGCUAAUACCGGAUAAGUUGGAUUACACAAGUAAUCUUAAUGAAAGGCGGAUUUAUCUGUCACUAAAGGAUGGGCCUGCGGUGCAUUAGCUAGUUGGUGAGGUAGUGGCUCACCAAGGCAACGAUGCAUAGCCGACCUGAGAGGGUGAUCGGCCACACUGGGACUGAGACACGGCCCAGACUCCUACGGGAGGCAGCAGUAGGGAAUCUUCCGCAAUGGACGCAAGUCUGACGGAGCAACGCCGCGUGAGUGAAGAAGGGUUUCGGCUCGUAAAACUCUGUUGUUAAGGAAGAACACUUUAGGUAGUAACUGGCCUAGAGAUGACGGUACUUAACCAGAAAGCCACGGCUAACUACGUGCCAGCAGCCGCGGUAAUACGUAGGUGGCAAGCGUUAUCCGGAAUUAUUGGGCGUAAAGCGCGCGUAGGCGGUAGAAUAAGUCUGAUGUGAAAGCCCCCGGCUCAACCGGGGAGGGUCAUUGGAAACUGUUUUACUUGAGUGCAGAAGAGGAGAGUGGAAUUCCAUGUGUAGCGGUGAAAUGCGCAGAGAUAUGGAGGAACACCAGUGGCGAAGGCGGCUCUCUGGUCUGUAACUGACGCUGAGGUGCGAAAGCGUGGGGAUCAAACAGGAUUAGAUACCCUGGUAGUCCACGCCGUAAACGAUGAGUGCUAAGUGUUGGGGGGUUUCCGCCCUCAGUGCUGCAGCUAACGCAUUAAGCACUCCGCCUGGGGAGUACGACCGCAAGGUUGAAACUCAUAGGAUUGACGGGGACCCGCACAGCGGGUGGAGCAUGUGGUUAAUUCGAAGUACGCGGAGAAUCUUAUCCGAAUCUGGCUUC
rnacentral:rRNA from 1 species